UCGUGAACCUUAAACAAAAUAGACCGCGAACGCAUCUCUCAUGUCGCCGGGCUCCGACCCGGCCAAGGCUCCCAAGCCCCGUCCCGGGGCGGAGGGGCCGCAAAAGAACCCACGGCGCCUUAGGCGUCAAGGAACACUAAUAUUGCCUUGCUCGGUGGAGCGGUCGGCCUGCCUUCCGCUCCCCGUGCAGCGAUGCUAUCUUAAUCCACACGACUCUCUGCAACGGAUAUCUCGGCUCUCGCAUCGAUGAAGAACGUAGCAAAAUGCGAUACCUGGUGUGAAUUGCAGAAUCCCGCGAACCAUCGAGUUUUUGAAUGCAAGUUGCGCCCGAGGCCUUCUGGUUGAGGGCACGUCUGCCUGGGCGACACGCCAAAAGACACUCCCAACCCACCCUCGGGGAGGGACGUGGUGUUUGGCCCCUCGUGCCACAAGGCACAGUGGGCCGAAGUUGGGGCUGCCGGCAAAUCGUGUCAGGCACAGCACGUGGUGGGUGACAUCGGUUGUUCUCGGUGCAGUGCCCCGGCACGCGGCCGGCGCAUCGGCCCUAAGGACCCAUCGAGCACCGAAGCUCAUCGCCGAUCGGACCGCGACCC
rnacentral:misc_RNA from 1 species